rnacentral:rRNA from 1 species
AACGAACGCUGGCGGCAUGCCUAACACAUGCAAGUCGAACGAAGGCUUCGGCCUUAGUGGCGCACGGGUGCGUAACGCGUGGGAAUCUGCCCUUUGGUUCGGAAUAACAGCUGGAAACGGCUGCUAAUACCGGAUGAUGACGAAAGUCCAAAGAUUUAUCGCCAGAGGAUGAGCCCGCGUUGGAUUAGGUAGUUGGUGGGGUAAAGGCCUACCAAGCCGACGAUCCAUAGCUGGUCUGAGAGGAUGAUCAGCCACACUGGGACUGAGACACGGCCCAGACUCCUACGGGAGGCAGCAGUGGGGAAUAUUGGACAAUGGGCGCAAGCCUGAUCCAGCAAUGCCGCGUGAGUGAUGAAGGCCGUAGGGUUGUAAAGCUCUUUUACCCGGGAAGAUAAUGACUGUACCGGGAAAAUAAGCCCCGGCUAACUCCGUG